AGAAGAUAUUUAUGUUAUAGAUGGCGAAGUGAAAACAAAGCCCAGCAAUGGGUUCUGCAGUCAGGGGCUUUGGAAUGAAUUAAACUCUGGGAAUCAAUCUGAAGUUUCUACAUUUUAUCAUUACCCAGUCCACAGAACCAAUCUCAUAGGCCGUGAAUAAGACUAAGGGUUGAUGUGGAAAUGAGGUUAUAUCAUCCUACCAUAAACUUGAGCUCAAACUCAGCCCUGCUAACAUAAAAUAAAGAUGAACUUAUCAUCUUGCAUUUACAUGAUUAACUUAUAAAAUGACAAACCGUACGUGCUUAACCCCAAAAAUUAGAACGAAAAAUUAAAAUAUUGAUAAUUGAUCCCUCCCUUCUUUCACUGGAAUGCAGCCGCAGAACUGGCCUUUAUCACGUCUAAUAAACUAACUUCUCCACUGUUCUGUGAUUCUCUUCUAUAUGGAUUGCAUACCUCUAACGACCCAGCUAGAAAAUGUUUACCUGGUCUUCUUGGCUUUGGCCAAUUUCUUCUUUCUUUUCUUUACAGCCUUAGGAAUUUUAGUCUUCCGAGCUUCUCUCUUCUCUUCUUUGACUUUCUUUUUGUUCUGUUUUCUAGCGGUUCUUUUAUCAACAGGAUCCUUUUUCUCAACUUCUGACAGGGAACCACUCUCAUCUGAGUCGCUUGAGUUCUCAUCAUCAUCUGUCUCAGAAUCAGAUUCACUUUCAGGAGUUUUAGAAUGGUCAUCCUCAUUUACAGAAAACACUUCUACAGGGUUCAAAUUCUCUUCCUUUUGGUCUUUUUGGGCUUCAGAAAACUGAACUUUAGAUAGAGCCUCCUUUAGUCCUGUUAUGGUUUGAUAGUACAUAUCUCCUGUAUCCUUGCCACUUGUUAUCCUUAUUACAUCCUCCUCAGCAUUCUUGACAUGAUCUAAUGUCUUUGGAAUAUAUGACUGCACAAAUACGGAGUCUGCAAUUUCAUCCUCUACUGUGACAUCUCUUGACAAAAUUUUUUGCUGAACCUCUUCCAAGUAACUAUCAACAGAAUCAUCAGUAAUGGUUGGGUCAACUAUGAAGUCAAAUAGCUCUCGAAUUGUCAUGACAGCUACACCAUGUUUCUUAAAAAAAUCCUGCAUCCCAACCAUGCUUGAUUAAUUCAGCUGUUAAAGCGCAUUUCUUUUUUCCCUUCCAAAAGUAAAAUUUAUAAAAAAACAUCACAACCAUCCAUCCUGUGGAAAGAACUUACAGAAACAUGAACACAAUCUUCACGUAGGAAAUCAAGGGCAUGAGGGUGGUCGAGAUCAACUGCUUGAGAGACAUCAAUUACAUACAAGUGACCCUACAAACAGGAGGGAAAGUUCAUACCAAACGUCCACAAAUACACAUGUGAUCAACCUAACAUCUCCAGUCAACGACUCUUCUCAAAAGAGGAGAUUUUAUAUUUAUCCAUUCUAUUUUGGAAUGCAUCAAAACCAGCCCAAAGACAAAUAUGUUAUCUGUUUGAUAAAGAAACAAGCGGCAUUCACCUCAAAAUAUAGUAUGUUAUAUUCACUGAGGUCCCCAUGCACCAGUUUGCAUUUCUGAUACAAAGUCCGCAUUGCAAUGAUCAUCUGAUAAAGAAAUACAAAGAGGUUAUUACAAAAUAAAAAUACAACUGUUAAAUCCUUUCUUCUUUUCUCCAAAUAAUAUUCUAACAAAAUCAUAGCUGUUACUCCAUGGACCAUAUCAUUUCCAAUAGAAAUCUUCUGUUAGGCUCCUCCAGCCUGAUUGACCCAAAUGAUAAACCAUAAAGGCUAAAUAUCAACAAGUUCAACCAGACAGACAUAAGUUUCUAAAACAUACUGAUUAUAAAUUCUAUAGUUGCAUUAUUUAAAUUAAAGAAAAUGACUGAAUUACUAAAAAAUUCUGGACACAC
rnacentral:misc_RNA from 1 species